GACAGAAACUGGAAGCAUUGCCCAGAGAGGUAAUCAGAAACACUAUGCUCCCGAGACUUUCCUUAACAGGUGCUCAUUUUUAUCCUGUUUUGAUGAAUGGCUAUACCAGUGAAACCUGCUAUACUGAGAGGACAAAGAGCAUAUAUACUUCUCUUCCCCAACCACUAUCUACCCCACCUUUCCAUAAAGGAAUACAGGUUUAAUCUAACUUAAAAACAAAAUGUUAAAUAAAAGACAAUUAAAUUGAAGACCCCUCCUGGAGAAACUUGUGAGGAUACUAAUAUAGACUCUACCACCUCAAAAACCUAACUUCAAAGAGAUUUUAAAGAAGUCAUCAAUUCCCUCACAUGGCAGACUGGGAUAACAUCUGUUAAUAAAGACUAAAAAAAAGACAAAUAAGAACAUCUGGGCCAGGUGCAGUGGCUCACACCUGAAAUCCCAGUACUUUGGCAAGCCAAGGCGGGCGGAUCAUGAGGUCAGGAGAUCGAGACCAUCCUGGCUAACACGUUCUGUUGCUUUCCAGGAUAUACGCAUGGCUUUAACAGAGUCUAUUACUGGAAUACAGAGAAGCUAUUGAAGUAAUCCUUCAAGGCAUAAGGUCAGAACUUAGAGAAGUCACAGAGUUUAUAUUUCUGAACCUGAUUAACCAGAAAAUUGUUCUAAAGCAAGAAAAGAUAUAUGCUUUCAAACUGUUAUCCUACAACCAAAUCCAUUUUGAAGGCACGAGGAUCCACAAGAUUACUCACCUUCAGAAAAACAGGAAGAUAAGAAAUGCUGGUCUUGGUACAACCUAAUGAAAAGACACAGCUGACAUUUCAUAUGAAGAUAAAAUUGAGAUUGUUUAGAAAGAAUUUAUUGGAGUUAACAUUGAAAGUAACAAUGGUAUUUCUUGUCAUCCCUUUCUAAAUGGCAUAUAUGGUAUGUAAUCUAGAAAAUGUACAUAUACAUGUAGUAGCUUACAAAGCUUCCAAUAAAAAAGACAAAGUCUCAGGAUUUUGCCAUCUAAG
rnacentral:antisense_RNA from 1 species